GUGUCAGCAGCCGCGGUAAUACGGAGGGUGCAAGCGUUAUUCGGAAUCAUUGGGCGUAAAGGGCGCGUAGGCGGUUUUUUAAGUCAGAUGUGAAAGCCCGGGGCUUAACCCCGGAAGUGCAUUUGAAACUGAAAGACUUGAGUAUGGGAGAGGGAAGUGGAAUUCCUGGUGUAGAGGUGAAAUUCGUAGAUAUCAGGAGGAACACCGGUGGCGAAGGCGACUUCCUGGACCAAUACUGACGCUGAGGCGCGAAGGCGUGGGUAGCAAACAGGAUUAGAUACCCUGGUAGUCCACGCAGUAAACGGUGAACACUAGGUGUAGCGGGUAUUGACCCCUGCUGUGCCGAAGUUAACGCAUUAAGUGUUCCGCCUGGGAAGUACGGUCGCAAGAUUAAA
rnacentral:rRNA from 1 species